GUAGGGAAUAUUGCACAAUGGGCGCAAGCCUGAUGCAGCAACGCCGCGUGCGCGAUGAAGGCCUUCGGGUUGUAAAGCGCUUUUCGGGGAGAUGAGGAAGGACAGUAUCCCCGGAAUAAGUCUCGGCUAACUACGUGCCAGCAGCCGCGGUAAAACGUAGGAGGCGAGCGUUAUCCGAAUUUACUGGGCGUAAAGCGUGUGCAGGCGGUUCGGUAAGUUGGAUGUGAAAUCUCCUGGCUCAACUGGGAGAGGUCGUUCAAGACUGUCGGACUAGAGGGCGGUAGAGGGAGGUGGAAUUCCCGGUGUAGUGGUGAAAUGCGUAGAUAUCGGGAGGAACACCUGUGGCGAAAGCGGCCUCCUGGGCCGCACCUGACGCUCAGACACGAAAGCUAGGGGAGCAAACGGGAUUAGAAACCCGAGUAGUCC
rnacentral:rRNA from 1 species